AUAGUGCAGAAAUUCGUAAUGAAGGAUAUUGUGCUUUUCAGUCUACUCUGCUGUAUUGUGUGAAGGUGAAUAAACAGUCCGUUUAAACAGCACUAUUGUGUUUUAUCUUUUUCGACAAAAAGAAAAAUGCAAAUUUUCGCUGCGUUCUUUGUCCUGGCAUCUGUAGUGACCCUCAUCGAAGCGGAAAGCUGUAGACAAGGCCUCAUGUACUGCGGAAGCGGGCUACGCUCUAGAGGCUACAACAUGAAAGAUCACGAACUCAAUAUGCUGUUCUUAUGCAAGGAUGGCCAUGACGUGGACUGGGUUUCCAGCUGUCCACAGUGCCAUGAUGGUGGUCGAGGAAAAAGCGAUUGGUGCUAAAUGUAGAAGCGCUAGCAGUGGUGAUGGGUGGUUUCCGUUUGUGCAGUUUAUUCUCGUGUCGCCGCUUAAUGUUGAUGAUAAUCAGCUUUUUAAUGCUAUCUAUUUACUGGUUAACGUCAACAGUACGUAUCCUUUUUGAUGGUAGAGACGUCAGAGUGACACCCAUGGCUGACACGAUGGUCACUUGGUCAGUUUCUCAGCCAGCUCAUGUUCUUAUCCGUUAGUUAUAAAGUAUAAUCGCCACGU